rnacentral:rRNA from 1 species
AAUGAACGCUGGCGGCAGGCCUAACACAUGCAAGUCGAGCGAGGGCUUCGGUCUUACAGGCGGAUGGGUGAGUAACGGGAGGGGACGUGCCAAUUGCUUCGGAAUAGACCUGGGAAUCUGGGAGAAAUACCGGAAGAGCCCUUUGAGGGAAAGGUAUAUAGGCGAAGGAUCGGCCGGCGUUGGAUAAGGUAGUUGGGGGGGUAAUGGGCUACCAAGCCGUCGAUCGAUAGAUGGUUAGAGAGGAUGGUCAGCCACACUGGGACUAAGAGACGGCCCAGACUCCUACGGGAGGCAGCAGAGGGGAAUCUUAGACAGCGGGGGAAAGCCGGAGCUAGCCAUGCCGCGUGAGCGAUGAAGGCCUUAGGGUUGUAAAGCUCUUUCAGCUGUGAAGAUAUUGACGGUACCAGCAGAAUAAGCCCCGGCUAACUCCGUG